rnacentral:rRNA from 1 species
UGGGGAAUAUUGGACAAUGGGCGAAAGCCUGAUCCAGCCAUGCCGCGUGUGUGAAGAAGGUCUUCGGAUUGUAAAGCACUUUAAGUUGGGAGGAAGGGCAUUAACCUAAUACGUUAGUGUUUUGACGUUACCGACAGAAUAAGCACCGGCUAACUCUGUGCCAGCAGCCGCGGUAAUACAGAGGGUGCAAGCGUUAAUCGGAAUUACUGGGCGUAAAGCGCGCGUAGGUGGUUUGUUAAGUUGGAUGUGAAAGCCCCGGGCUCAACCUGGGAACUGCAUCCAAAACUGGCAAGCUAGAGUACGGUAGAGGGUGGUGGAAUUUCCUGUGUAGCGAUGAAAUGCGUAGAUAUAGGAAGGAACACCAGUGGCGAAGGCGACCACCUGGACUGAUACUGACACUGAGGUGCGAAAGCGUGGGGAGCAAACA